CAAAAACAUGUCUUUUUGGUAAUAAUUUAAAGUCUAAUCUGCCCACUGAUUUAAAUUAAAGGGCUGCAGUAUAUUGACUGUACAAAGGUAGCAUAAUCAUUAGUUUUUUAAUUGAAAACUUGUAUGAAGGAUUUGAUGAAAUAUAAACUGUCUCUUAUUUAAAAUUAAAAAUUUAUUUUUUAGUUAAAAAGCUAAAAUAAUUUUAAAAGACGAGAAGACCCUAUAGAGUUUUAUAUUAAAUUAUUUUAUAAUUAUUUAUAUAAUUAAAAAUUAAAAAUGAAUUUAAUAUUUUAUUGGGGUGAUAGAAAAAUUAAAAAAACUUUUUUUAAAUUAUUAACAUAGAUAUAUGAAUAAAUGAUCCAUAAUUAAUGAUUAUAAGAAAAAAUUACCUUAGGGAUAACAGCGUAAUAUUUUUUUUUAGUUCAUAUAAAAAAAAAAGUUUGCGACCUCGAUGUUGGAUUAAGAUAAAAUUUAAAUGCAAAAGUUUAAAAGUUUUGAUCUGUUCGAUCAUUAAAAUCUUACA
rnacentral:rRNA from 1 species